rnacentral:rRNA from 1 species
UCGAGCGAGGGGCUUGCUCCCUGAUGUUAGCGGCGGACGGGUGAGUAACACGUGGGCAACCUGCCCUAUAGCUUGGGAUAACUCCGGGAAACCGGGGCUAAUACCGAAUAACACAAUUUAGCUCCUGCUAGAUUGUUGAAAGAUGGCUUCUGCUAUCGCUAUAGGAUGGGCCGNCGCAUUAGCUAGUUGGUAGGGGUAACGGCAUCCAAGGCGACGAGAUGCUAGCCGACUGAGAGGGUGAUCGCACACUGGACUGAGACACGGUCAGACUCUCAG